GAUGAAGAACGUAGCGAAAUGCGAUAAGUAGUGUGAAUUGCAGAGUUUAGUGAAUCAUCGAAUCUUUGAACGCACAUUGCGCCCUAUAGUAUUCUGUAGGGCAUGCCUGUUCGAGCGUUAUUGAGACCUCAAGCUCUGCUUGGAAAUGGGCGCUUGUCUUGCCUUGCAGACUCGCCUUAAAACCAUUGGCAGCUGAUUUACAAUGUUUGGUGCACAGUACAUGAGCCCAAGUGUUGCAAUGAGUGGCCCAAAAGUAUACAAUAGAAGCUUAACCUCGGAUCAGGUAGGGAUACCCGCUGAACUUAAGCAUAUCAAUAAGCGGAGGA
rnacentral:misc_RNA from 1 species